rnacentral:rRNA from 1 species
AUAUCAAUAAGCGGAGGAAAAGAAACUAACAAGGAUUCCCCUAGUAACUGCGAGUGAAGCGGGAAAAGCUCAAAUUUAAAAUCUGGCGGUCUCCGGCCGUCCGAGUUGUAAUCUAGAGAAGUGUUAUCUGCGCUGGACCGUGUACAAGUCUCCUGGAAUGGAGCAUCAUAGAGGGUGAGAAUCCCGUCUUUGACACGGACUGCCAGGGCUUUGUGAUGCGCUCUCAAAGAGUCGAGUUGUUUGGGAAUGCAGCUCAAAAUGGGUGGUAAAUUCCAUCUAAAGCUAAAUAUUGGCGAGAGACCGAUAGCGAACAAGUACCGUGAGGGAAAGAUGAAAAGAACUUUGGAAAGAGAGUUAAACAGUACGUGAAAUUGCUGAAAGGGAAACGCUUGAAGUCAGUCGCGUUGGCCGGGGAUCAACCUUGCUUUUGCUGGGCGUACUUUCCGGUCGACGGGUCAGCAUCAAUUUUGACCGUUGGAUAAAGUCCAGGGGAAUGUGGCAUCUUCGGAUGUGUUAUAGCCCUUGGUCGCAUACAACGGUUGGGAUUGAGGAACUCAGCACGCCGCAAGGCCGGGUACUUGUACCACGUUCGUGCUUAGGAUGCUGGCAUAAUGGCUUUAAUCGACCCGUCUUGAAACACGGACCAAGGAGUCUAACAUGCCUGCGAGUGUUUGGGUGGAAAACUCGGACGCGUAAUGAAAGUGAAAGUUGAGAUCCCUGUCGCGGGGAGCAUCGACGCCCGGACCAGACCUUUUGUGACGGAUCCGCGGUAGAGCAUGUAUGUUGGGACCCGAAAGAUGGUGAACUAUGCCUGAAUAGGGUGAAGCCAGAGGAAACUCUGGUGGAGGCUCGUAGCGAUUCUGACGUGCAAAUCGAUCGUCAAAUUUGGGUAUAGGGGCGAAAGACUAAUCGAACCAUCUAGUAGCUGGUUCCUG